rnacentral:rRNA from 1 species
UACGAAGGGGUCGAAGCGUUGUCGAGAUACUGGGCGUAAAGGGCGCGUAGGCGGAGUGCUUUGUCAGGCGUGAAAUUCCAGGGCUUAACCUUGGGGCUGCGUUUGAGACGGGCAUUCUUGAGUAUGGAAGAGGGUCGUGGAAUUCCCAGUGUAGAGGUGAAAUUCGUAGAUAUCGGGAGGAACACCGGUGGCGAAGGCGGCGACCUGGGUGGAUACUGACGCUGAGGUGCGAAAGCGUGGGGAGCAAACAGG